GAGGGUACAGCUCAGUGGUAGAGCACAUGCUUAGCAUGCAUGAGGUCCUGAGUUCAAUCCUCUGUACCUCCA
rnacentral:tRNA from 1 species